AAAUUGAAGAGUUUGAUCAUGGCUCAGAUUGAACGCUGGCGGCAGGCCUAACACAUGCAAGUCGAACGGUAACAGGAAACAGCUUGCUGUUUCGCUGACGAGUGGCGGACGGGUGAGUAAUGUCUGGGAAACUGCCUGAUGGAGGGGGAUAACUACUGGAAACGGUAGCUAAUACCGCAUAAUGUCGCAAGACCAAAGAGGGGGACCUUCGGGCCUCUUGCCAUCGGAUGUGCCCAGAUGGGAUUAGCUAGUAGGUGGGGUAAAGGCUCACCUAGGCGACGAUCCCUAGCUGGUCUGAGAGGAUGACCAGCCACACUGGAACUGAGACACGGUCCAGACUCCUACGGGAGGCAGCAGUGGGGAAUAUUGCACAAUGGGCGCAAGCCUGAUGCAGCCAUGCCGCGUGUAUGAAGAAGGCCUUCGGGUUGUAAAGUACUUUCAGCGGGGAGGAAGGGAGUAAAGUUAAUACCUUUGCUCAUUGACGUUACCCGCAGAAGAAGCACCGGCUAACUCCGUGCCAGCAGCCGCGGUAAUACGGAGGGUGCAAGCGUUAAUCGGAAUUACUGGGCGUAAAGCGCACGCAGGCGGUUUGUUAAGUCAGAUGUGAAAUCCCCGGGCUCAACCUGGGAACUGCAUCUGAUACUGGCAAGCUUGAGUCUCGUAGAGGGGGGUAGAAUUCCAGGUGUAGCGGUGAAAUGCGUAGAGAUCUGGAGGAAUACCGGUGGCGAAGGCGGCCCCCUGGACGAAGACUGACGCUCAGGUGCGAAAGCGUGGGGAGCAAACAGGAUUAGAUACCCUGGUAGUCCACGCCGUAAACGAUGUCGACUUGGAGGUUGUGCCCUUGAGGCGUGGCUUCCGGAGCUAACGCGUUAAGUCGACCGCCUGGGGAGUACGGCCGCAAGGUUAAAACUCAAAUGAAUUGACGGGGGCCCGCACAAGCGGUGGAGCAUGUGGUUUAAUUCGAUGCAACGCGAAGAACCUUACCUGGUCUUGACAUCCACAGAACUUUCCAGAGAUGGAUUGGUGCCUUCGGGAACUGUGAGACAGGUGCUGCAUGGCUGUCGUCAGCUCGUGUUGUGAAAUGUUGGGUUAAGUCCCGCAACGAGCGCAACCCUUAUCCUUUGUUGCCAGCGGUCCGGCCGGGAACUCAAAGGAGACUGCCAGUGAUAAACUGGAGGAAGGUGGGGAUGACGUCAAGUCAUCAUGGCCCUUACGACCAGGGCUACACACGUGCUACAAUGGCGCAUACAAAGAGAAGCGACCUCGCGAGAGCAAGCGGACCUCAUAAAGUGCGUCGUAGUCCGGAUUGGAGUCUGCAACUCGACUCCAUGAAGUCGGAAUCGCUAGUAAUCGUGGAUCAGAAUGCCACGGUGAAUACGUUCCCGGGCCUUGUACACACCGCCCGUCACACCAUGGGAGUGGGUUGCAAAAGAAGUAGGUAGCUUAACCUUCGGGAGGGCGCUUACCACUUUGUGAUUCAUGACUGGGGUGAAGUCGUAACAAGGUAACCGUAGGGGAACCUGCGGUUGGAUCACCUCCUUACCUUAAAGAAGC
rnacentral:rRNA from 1 species